AUUGAACGCUGGCGGCAGGCCUAACACAUGCAAGUCGAGCGAGCGGCGGACGGGUGAGUAAUGUCUGGGAAACUGCCUGAUGGAGGGGGAUAACUACUGGAAACGGUAGCUAAUACCGCAUACCAUCAGAUGUGCCCAGAUGGGAUUAGCUAGUAGGUGGGGUAACGGCUCACCUAGGCGACGAUCCCUAGCUGGUCUGAGAGGAUGACCAGCAACACGGGAACUGAGAAAGGGUCCAGAUUCCGACGGGAGGCAGCAGGGGGGAAUAUUGCACAAGGGGCGAAAGCCUGAUGCAGCCAUGCCGCUGGUGUGAAGAAGGCCUUCGGGUUGUAAAGCACUUUCCGCGGGGAGGCGUUACCCGCAGAAGAAGCACCGGCUAACUCCUUGCCAGCAGCCGCGGUAAUC
rnacentral:rRNA from 1 species